CUUCCCGAGAAUUAGGGAAUCUGGGGCCGUUUCUGCUACUGCUUCUUCUGUUGCUGUUGACUUGAAGACAACCUUAUGAAUUCAAGAAAUCCAGAGGCCUUGGACUGGUGGCAGAGAAAGCUUCUGCCAAGUAGAGGACAGCAACCAGCAAGACUAUUGACCCAAGUUUGGCCCUUUUACCAGCAGACGUCUUCCAGGAGUUGUUUGGACAGUGCGGAGCCAAAGUGAAAUGCAGAAUGCCUAAUUAGUCACAUCAAAGAAUCUGCUUCAUGCUCUGGUGUAAACAGGGGGAAAAGCAGCAUAAACAAAGGAAGUAUAUCUCAGAGUGAGGUGGCUCAGGAUACAAAGAAAAGGAAGAAUAAGCAAUAAGAAA